AGCGGGGUCUGGGGGGGCCGCUGGCGGCCCCCACCCACGAGGCUGCCCCGCGCCAGCUUCUGCAGCUCGACGGGCACUACGGCGCUGGGGCAGUGCUUCUCGAUGUAGUCCUGGAAUCCCUGCACUCCCAUGGAAGGAAACUAGUCCAGAGCAUGUGCCACCAGGAGCCUGGCUGUCAGCAUCCUUGGAGUCAGGGCAGCACAGCAGAACUGAGCACUGCCAGUUCAUGCCCAGCCACAAACACAGCCCUCCCUCCCCAACGAGAAGAAAGAGAGAGGAAAAGCAUAAGGGGAAACAAGGUGCUUCCAGAACUUAUUUAAUAUAAACUAAAAGCUUAGCCAGACAAGAAGACAAUGGAAAAUAAGUUAAAUUUAUGGAAAAACAAAAUUACUCUGGAAAGCAGGUAGAUUAAGCUAGACUUAAAGAGCAAUUAAUCAAAGACACAAGGCAAACAAAGUGGUUUUUUCAUCAACCAGCAGCAGAAAGCCUGCAGGAUUCAUCAAUCUACUUCAGCACUGAGACACGUGUUCCACAGUUCCCAGAUGUUGGUUGUAUAAGGGAAGGGUUAAUAACAGUUGGUAUUAAAGUCAGUGACUCAUUAUCCAACCUGAACAGAGGCGAAUUAGGAGUGGCUCCCUCAAAGAUAGGAACUGAACAGUCAUUGGGAAGAACUAGCGAAUAACCAUGUCAGAGCAAGAACAGAGAUGAAUGUUAUCAGUUUAGUCUUGGUUCCUCUGUUAAGGAAGGUCAGUCCCACAGCAAGAUGAACAUGGACGCAGACUGUGGAACAGACUAGCCACUGGGACCUGAAAGCCUGGUGCAUCUUGCUGUGGCCCUGCUGCCCCAGAACUUCCCUGUUCUUGCUGCUGUAGAAGAGCUCCCAGCCUUCACCUCACUGCCAGGUCUACAAGUGGCCAUGGGCUCACCCUGUGGGC